rnacentral:snRNA from 1 species
GUGCUCGCUUCGGCAGCACAUAUACUAAAAUUGGAACAAUACGAGAAGAUUAGCAUGGCCCCUGCGGCAAAGGAUGACACACAAAUUCAUGAAGCGUUCCAUACUUUU